rnacentral:rRNA from 1 species
AGAGUUUGAUCCUGGCUCAGAACGAACGCUGGCGGCAGGCCUAACACAUGCAAGUCGAGCGCCCCCGCAAGGGGGAGCGGCGGACGGGUGAGUAACGCGUGGGAAUUUUCCUCAAGGUACGGAACAACUCAGGGAAACUUGGGCUAAUACCGUAUGAUGUCUAGCGACCAAAGAUUUAUCGCCUUGGGAUAAGCCCGCGUCAGAUUAGGUAGUUGGUGGGGUAACGGCCUACCAAGCCUGCGAUCUGUAGCUGGUCUGAGAGGACGAUCAGCCACACUGGGACUGAGACACGGCCCAGACUCCUACGGGAGGCAGCAGUGGGGAAUCUUGCGCAAUGGGCGAAAGCCUGACGCAGCCAUGCCGCGUGAAUGAUGAAGGUCUUAGGAUUGUAAAGUUCUUUCGCUCGUGACGAUGAUGACGGUAACGAGAGAAGAAGCCCCGGCUAACUUCGUGCCAGCAGCCGCGGUAAUACGAAGGGGGCUAGCGUUGUUCGGAAUUACUGGGCGUAAAGCGCGCGUAGGCGGUUUUGCAAGCCAGAGGUGAAAUGCCUGAGCUCAACUUAGGAAUUGCCUUUGGGACUGCGAGGCUUUGAGGACUGGAGAGGUGAGUGGAAUUCCCAGUGUAGAGGUGAAAUUCGUAGAUAUUGGGAAGAACACCAGAGGCGAAGGCGGCUCACUGGCCAGUUUCUGACGCUGCAGCGCGAAAGCGUGGGGAUCAAACAGGAUUAGAUACCCUGGUAGUCG